AGAGUUUGAUCAUGGCUCAGAGUGAACGCUGGCGGCAGGCCUAAUACAUGCAAGUCGAACGGCAGCACAGCAGAGCUUGCUCUGUGGGUGGCGAGUGGCGGACGGGUGAGGAAUACGUGGGAAUCUGCCCAGUCGUGGGGAUAACGUAGGGAAACUUACGCUAAUACCGCAUGCGCCCUUCGGGGAAAGCCGGGGACCUUCGGGCCUGGCGCGAUUGGAUGAGCCCACGUCGGAUUAGCUAGUUGGCGGGGUAAAGGCCCACCAAGGCGACGAUCCGUAGCUGGGUCUGAGAGGAUGAUCAGCCACACUGGAACUGAGACACGGUCCAGACUCCUACGGGAGGCAGCAGUAGGGAAUAUUGGACAAUGGGCGCAAGCCUGAUCCAGCCAUGCCGCGUGAGCGAAGAAGGCCCUCGGGUUGUAAAGCUCUUUUGUCCGGAAAGAAAAGCGCCGGGUUAAUACCCUGGUGUCCUGACGGUACCGGAAGAAUAAGCACCGGCUAACUUCGUG
rnacentral:rRNA from 1 species